rnacentral:rRNA from 1 species
UAUUGGGCAAUGGACGGAAGUCUGACCCAGCCAUCCCGCGUGCAGGAAGAAGGUUCUCUGGAUUGUAAACUGCUUUUGUUUGGGAAGAAAGAGUUCCGUUAUCGGGAUAUUGACGGUACCAGACGAAUAAGCACCGGCUAACUCCGUGCCAGCAGCCGCGGUAAUACGGAGGGUGCAAGCGUUAUCCGGAUUUACUGGGUUUAAAGGGUGCGUAGGCGUCUCAACAAGUUUUCGGUGAAAGCUUUCCGCUUAACGGGAAAACUGCCGAAAAAACUGUUGAGAUUGAAUUUAGGUGAAGUGAGUGGAAUACAACAAGUAGCGGUGAAAUGCUUAGAUAUGUUGUAGAACACCGAUUGCGAAGGCAUCUCACUAAUCUAACAUUGACGCUGAGGCACGAAAGCGUGGGUAGCGAACAGG